GUAGAGGAGGUUAGAUCCGGUGCGUUACGUCGGAGAAGUCGAAUCACCGGGCGAUCGUAAAGGUCGUAGGUGUUCUCUCUCUUUCUCACUCUUUCGGAAAUACUCAUUCUUUUUCUUUAUUACUUCCUCACUUCUCAGAUGCUUCUCGGCAAGUCCUUCAAUCGAUUAGAAGAUAACCAGCUGGCUGUUGGUGUCAUUGGUGAGAGAGAGGGAUCGUUCAUUUAGGAUUUUUCAAUGAUAAAUUUUACGAUGAUUAUUAUCUUCGUGGUGUAUAAGAGGCAACAUGAAUGGUUUCAUUCGUAAAUGUUACAAGAGUGGGGAAGAGAGGGAGAGAGAGAGAAAGAUGGACAACCUUCAAGUGGAAAAGUUCUACGCUUAUCAUUCGUUAUCGAAGAUGCAACGCAACGGAAAAUUACAUUAGAUUUAUGGAUGGAUGGAAAUUUCAAGUGAAGGAGGAAGUGCGAUGUCAACGGGUAUUAAUCAUUGACGAUUUCAAUCAAAGAGUAUAUUAUUACGAUGAACUUGAAAUAAAUUUGUGGAACGAGCCCACGUUUUCGAUCGAUUAUAUACAUCACAAGCAAGAUCUCAGAGAUGCUCUAAGCCGACUACAUUGCGAGUCAGAAUCCUUCAAGAUGGAUCUUAUUUUGGACAUCAAUAGCUGGCUCUAUCCUAUGGAAUUAGGUGACAAAUUUCGCUUAGUAUUAGCAACAACUCUUCGAGAGGAUGGUUAUCCAGACGGAGGCGAAUGGAAUGCAACCGAUCAAGAAGGUGGUUCGAGAGCAGACAGUUUUGAGUACGUGAUGUCGGGAAAGGUUUAUCGGAUCGAGGGUGACGAGGCAAGCAACGAGCCUAGCAGUAGAUUAAACACCCACCUCCCACGUUGAUCGGAACGAUAAUCGACGUCGCUUUACAUCGCUGAAUAUCGACAAGAGCCACUCGGAAUGCAGAUCUGCCUACGUAUCUUUCGGUGGAUUAUUAAUGAGGCUGCAAGGUGACGCAAAUAACUUACAUGGUUUCGAGAUUGAUCAACAUAUGUACCUGCUCAUGAAGAAACUUGCAUUUUAAGUUAUCUUUACAAAUAGAUCAAACUUACUGACGAAGAUUUUUAUCUUCUCAUUCUUUGAAAAGAUUUUACAAUUUUUUAUUGACUGAAAUAAAAUAUACGUCAAAGAUUGUUAUUUA